rnacentral:lncRNA from 1 species
AUGAACUCUGUUGCAGUGUCUCACCGGCUCCUCUUUCCGGGACGAUGUGUUUCUCAGCGGAAAUCUUGGAAUGAGGGAAGCACAAUGCUCAGGCUGACAGGCAAUGACAAGAAGCUGAAGAUAAAGCUGUUGUCUACAGUGAAGGCCUGCACUGAAACUCACCAUCCUGAUUUCUUAGGAGACCAUCAGCAGGAGGAGGGCGAGCUUCUACAGAAGACACUUGUCCUGCAGCAAACAUGGAGUUCCAGCUCAACCGCCGGCGCACCUGUGACAGGUAACUUCACACGUCCACACCUGCACUCGUUUCAGACUCAUUUAUGUGAUGCUGAUGGUCUUCUGUGGCUUCCAAAGGAGUUUCAGAGAGGAUCACGACUACCUCUCACUGGUCCUCAGUCCUCAAGGACGCCUCAUAGACAGCCUGCAGCAGUACUUCAAAGGGAGUGA